rnacentral:ribozyme from 1 species
UGCCCAGCAACUCCUGUCCCUACCUCCUCGCGGUACUGGCCAGGGUACGAGCAACCUUAGGGAAGAUCGGGUAACCAAACUCGGUGAAAACUGUGGUCGUUUGCUGAUAGGAGG